rnacentral:tRNA from 2 species
AUUUAUAUAGUUUAUCCUUAAAACAUUACAUUUUCACUGUAAAAAUAAAUCAAAUUUUAUAAAUG